GAUGAACGCUGGCGGCGUGCCUAAUACAUGCAAGUCGAGCGAACAGACGAGGAGCUUGCUCCUCUGACGUUAGCGGCGGACGGGUGAGUAACACGCGGAUAACCUACCUAUAAGACUGGGAUAACUUCGGGAAACCGGAGCUAAUACCGGAUAAUAUAUUGAACCGCAUGGUUCAAUAGUGAAAGACGGUUUUGCUGUCACUUAUAGAUGGAUUCGCGCCGCAUUAGCUAGUUGGUAAGGUAACGGCUUACCAAGGCAACGAUGCGUAGCCGACCUGAGAGGGUGAUCGGCCACACUGGAACUGAGACACGGUCCAGACUCCUACGGGAGGCAGCAGUAGGGAAUCUUCCGCAAUGGGCGAAAGCCUGACGGAGCAACGCCGCGUGAGUGAUGAAGGUCUUCGGAUCGUAAAACUCUGUUAUUAGGGAAGAACAAAUGUGUAAGUAACUAUGCACGUCUUGACGGUACCUAAUCAGAAAGCCACGGCUAACUACGUG
rnacentral:rRNA from 1 species